rnacentral:rRNA from 1 species
GACGAACCGAGCGAACGUUGUUCGGAAUCACUGGGCUUAAAGGGCGCGUAGGCGGGCGGUUAAGUCUGCGGUGAAAUCCUCCAGCUCAACUGGAGAACUGCCGUGGAUACUGGCUGUCUCGAGGAAGGUAGGGGCGUGGUGGAACUAUCGGUGGAGCGGUGAAAUGCGUUGAUAUCGAUAGGAACUCCGGUGGCGAAGGCGACACGCUGGACCUUUUCUGACGCUGAGGCGCGAAAGCCAGGGGAGCAAACGGG